CAGCAGCCGCGGGAAUACGGAGGGAGCUAGCGUUGUUCGGAAUUACUGGGCGUAAAGCGCACGUAGGCGGUUAUUCAAGUCAGAGGUGAAAGCCCGGGGCUCAACCCCGGAACUGCCUUUGAAACUAGAUGACUAGAAUCUUGGAGAGGUCAGUGGAAUUCCGAGUGUAGAGGUGAAAUUCGUAGAUAUUCGGAAGAACACCAGUGGCGAAGGCGACUGACUGGACAAGUAUUGACGCUGAGGUGCGAAAGCGUGGGGAGCAAACAGGAUUAGAUACCCCAGUAGUCCCUGUCUCUUAUAC
rnacentral:rRNA from 1 species